rnacentral:rRNA from 1 species
UGGGGAAUAUUGGACAAUGGGGGCAACCCUGAUCCAGCAAUGCCGCGUGAGUGAUGAAGGCCUUAGGGUUGUAAAGCUCUUUCGCACGCGACGAUGAUGACGGUAGCGUGAGAAGAAGCCCCGGCUAACUUCGCGCCAGCAGCCGCGGUAAUACGAAGGGGGCGAGCGUUGUUCGGAAUUACUGUGCGUAAAGGGCGCGUAGGCGGCCCGAUCAGUCAGAUGUGAAAGCCCCGGGCUCAACCUGGGAACUGCAUUUGAUACUGUCGGGCUUGAGUUCCGGAGAGGAUGGUGGAAUUCCCAGUGUAGAGGUGAAAUUCGUAGAUAUUGGGAAGAACACCGGUGGCGAAGGCGGCCAUCUGGACGGACACUGACGCUGAGGCGCGAAAGCGUGGGGAGCAAAUA